GAUGAACGCUGGCGGCGUGCCUAAUACAUGCAAGUCGAGCGAACAGACGAGGAGCUUGCUCCUCUGACGUUAGCGGCGGACGGGUGAGUAACACGUGGAUAACCUACCUAUAAGACUGGGAUAACUUCGGGAAACCGGAGCUAAUACCGGAUAACAUGUUGAACCGCAUGGUUCAAUAGUGAAAGACGGUCUUGCUGUCACUUAUAGAUGGAUCCGCGCCGCAUUAGCUAGUUGGUAAGGUAACGGCUUACCAAGGCAACGAUGCGUAGCCGACCUGAGAGGGUGAUCGGCCACACUGGAACUGAGACACGGUCCAGACUCCUACGGGAGGCAGCAGUAGGGAAUCUUCCGCAAUGGGCGAAAGCCUGACGGAGCAACGCCGCGUGAGUGAAGAAGGUCUUCGGAUCGUAAAACUCCGUUAUUAGGGAAGAACAAAUGUGUAAGUAACUAUGCACGUCUUGACGGUACCUAAUCAGAAAGCCACGGCUAACUACGUG
rnacentral:rRNA from 1 species